GCCAGCAUGGCAUAGUGGUUUGAGUGUUGGACUAUGACUCUGGAGACCAGGGUUUGAAUCCAUGCUCAGCCA
rnacentral:tRNA from 1 species